CUGAUAGCAAGCUGUACUUGUACAGUGAAGUGGCUGAUACCAUGCUUCCAGGAAAAGUCUCUAAGCUUCAGUUACACAGGAAUCGUACCCGAAACCGACACAGGUGGUCAGGUCGAGUAGACCAAAGCGCUUGAGAGAACUCUGCUGAAGGAACUAGGCAAAAUGGUACCGUAACUUCGGGAGAAGGUACGCUGCUGACGGUGAUGGGACUUGCUCCCUGAGCUAUUGGCAGCCACAGAAACCAGGCCGCUGCAACUGUUUAUUAAAAACAUAGCACUCUGCAAACACGAAAGUGGACGUAUAGGGUGUGAUGCCUGCCCGGUGCUGGAAGGUUAAUUGAUGGGGUUAGCGUAAGCGAAGCUCUUGAUCGAAGCCCCAGUAAACGGCGGCCGUAACUAUAACGGUCCUAAGGUAGCGAAAUUCCUUGUCGGGUAAGUUCCGACCUGCACGAAUGGCAUAAUGAUGGCGGCGCUGUCUCCAGCAGAGGCUCAGUGAAAUCGAAAUCGCUGUGAAGAUGCAGUGUACCCGCGGCUAGACGGAAAGACCCCGUGAACCUUUACUGCAGCUUGACAUUGAACUUUGACCUUACUUGUGUAGGAUAGGUGGGAGGCUUUGAAGUACGAACGCUAGUUUGUAUGGAGCCGUCCUUGAAAUACCACCCUGGUAAUGUUGAGGUUCUAACUCUGCCCCGUAAUCCGGGGCGAGGACCAUGUCUGGUGGGUAGUUUGACUGGGGCGGUCUCCUCCUAAAGAGUAACGGAGGAGUACGAAGGUGCGCUCAGCGUGGUCGGAAAUCACGCGUAGAGUAUAAAGGCAAAAGCGCGCUUAACUGCGAGACCCACAAGUCGAGCAGGUACGAAAGUAGGUCUUAGUGAUCCGGUGGUUCUGUAUGGAAGGGCCAUCGCUCAACGGAUAAAAGGUACUCUGGGGAUAACAGGCUGAUACCGCCCAAGAGUUCAUAUCGACGGCGGUGUUUGGCACCUCGAUGUCGGCUCAUCUCAUCCUGGGGCUGAAGCAGGUCCCAAGGGUAUGGCUGUUCGCCAUUUAAAGAGGUACGCGAGCUGGGUUUAGAACGUCGUGAGACAGUUCGGUCCCUAUCUACCGUGGGCGCUGGAAAUUUGAGAGGAUCUGCUCCUAGUACGAGAGGACCAGAGUGGACGAACCUCUGGUGUACCGGUUGUGACGCCAGUCGCAUCGCCGGGUAGCUAUGUUCGGAAGGGAUAACCGCUGAAAGCAUCUAAGCGGGAAGCCUACCUCAAGAUAAGAUUUCCCUAGGAAUUUAUUCCUCUAAAGAGCCGUUCGAGACUAGGACGUUGAUAGGUUGGGUGUGGAAGCACGGUGACGUGUGAAGCUGACCAAUACUAAUUGCUCGUGAGGCUUGACUAU
rnacentral:rRNA from 1 species